rnacentral:rRNA from 1 species
GCUAGCGUUGCUCGGAAUCACUGGGCGUAAAGCGCACGUAGGCGGGUUCUUAAGUCAGGGGUGAAAUCCUGGAGCUCAACUCCAGAACUGCCUUUGAUACUGGGAAUCUCGAGUCCGGGAGAGGUGAGUGGAACUGCGAGUGUAGAGGUGAAAUUCGUAGAUAUUCGCAAGAACACCAGUGGCGAAGGCGGCUCACUGGCCCGGUACUGACGCUGAGGUGCGAAAGCGUGGGGAGCAAACAGG